rnacentral:rRNA from 1 species
AUUGAACGCUGGCGGCAGGCUUAACACAUGCAAGUCGAGCGGGGUGAUGGUGCUUGCACUAUCACUUAGCGGCGGACGGGUGAGUAAUGCUUAGGAAUCUGCCUAUUAGUGGGGGACAACAUCUCGAAAGGGAUGCUAAUACCGCAUACGUCCUACGGGAGAAAGCAGGGGAUCACUUGUGACCUUGCGCUAAUAGAUGAGCCUAAGUCGGAUUAGCUAGUUGGUGGGGUAAAGGCCUACCAAGGCGACGAUCUGUAGCGGGUCUGAGAGGAUGAUCCGCCACACUGGGGCUGCGACACGGCCCAGACUCCUCCGGGAGGCAGCAGUGGGGAAUAUUGGGCAAUGGGGGGAACCCUGAGCCAGCCAUGCCGCGUGUGUGAAGAAGGCCUUAUGGUUGUAAAGCACUUUAAGCGAGGAGGAGGCUCUUUUGGUUAAUACCCAAGAUGAGUUGACGUUACUCGCAGAAUAAGCACCGGCUAACUCUGUGCCAGCCGCCGCGGUAA